CCUUACAUCCCACACUACGUCCUCCUCCAUCCUCGUUAGCCGCCGCCGCCGUUCUGCCUCCCUCCUCUCUACCCUACAACCACGCCGGCGGAAGGAAGCCUCCGUUCGUGGCGCCAUACCACUGCCGGUGUGCUGUGCACGCUUCGUUCCCCACAGCCCCUCCCUCAUCCUCGCUCGGCACCGCCGCUGCCUGCUACUCCCCUCCACCACCGUUGCUACUUGUGGGUCGAAUCUAGCAUUGGUGGGUCAGAGCUCAAGCUAGAGGCCGAGACGGGGCUGGGCGAGCGGAUUCCAGGUGCGGGUUCGCCCUCUCCCCGCGCGGCGCGUGCGCAUCACGCCGUCUACGGGAGCGUGGGGGCAGGCCUCGCCCGCACCCCUCCGCCCUACCUCCCUCCUCGAUCUCUCUCCCUGGUCAGCCGCCACCAACCCUAGCCCCCUUUCAUACGCUGACUCCUCCAUACUCUGUCUCUGUCCGUGCAGGCGGCCAUCUUCGUUCCACCCCGAGCUUCUCAUCCUCCUUCCUUGCUUCUCUACUCCCACACGAAGGAGGAAGAUGCAAAUGGCGUCGGCUUUGGGAGAUAGCUCGCCCGGCUGCAGGGAAGGGCGACGGGACCGGCAUCCUGGGCGGUGGCGACGGUUGGACUCCAGGAGCUGCCGAGGUUGUCCUCACCAAGGAAGCGGCCGACAGCGCAAGGGAGGGCUCGUCCUUACGUGGUGCUCAACCGGCGAUUGAGAUUUGGAGGGAGACUAGGAGACCCCGGCGAAAACGAGCGUGCUAGCGGUGGCUCCGGGAAUGCAGGGUGAUAGGGCCCAGUCUAUGCUCCGGUUGUGUUGUUGGGAUUUUCGGGAUGGGCCUUCCUAUCCAUAAGUUUGUCUUUAUACUGCAUAUUAAUUCACUCUUUUGGGGAAGCUUCUGGACGGGAUUUAGACAAGGAAACGGAAACCCGUGCGAAAUCGAGCAUCCUGGUGGUGCCUCGACCAAAGCGGGUUGACGGAUAGUGCCGGUGAGCACGGAGCAUGGUGCAGCGAGUUGGAUAGGCGGCAAGAGAGGUGACCACGGGUGUGGCUUGGGGAGCUCCGCACACAUGAAGUGAUGAUGAGUGCAUCCGACCCCACCAUGCUGCUGUUCCUGGAGAACAAGGGGUAUAUGAACCAGAAAUGAUGUGAUAUACUUGGUUAUUUGAACAUGAAGGUCAACCACGGGGUGGCGCGACAUGGGUGAGCUGAAAUUGUUCUACUGAUUCCUUGAUGCUUUGUUCAUUGCUUUGUUCUUAUUUUAUCGUUCUUUAUUUGCUUUGUUCUUUCCUACAAGAAGAUGCCGAGUCGUGCAAUAUGUUCAAAGAAGUGAGAAUCUGCAUUUUAUGAAUGUUUUCUUCUUUCUUCAUUGUUACCUCAAGUCAGUGAAUUCAGUUAAAUUGUACUGAGCAGCUUCAUACGCAUGGUUUCUCCAUCUACACAUCUUAUUCAGUCACGAGGCCAUUAAGAUCUUUUUGACUUUUAUAAAAAGGGUGAUGCCAAUUGGACGUCACCCUGUCCAACUUGAUCUUUAACUUGCUAUUACUGUUUGGAUCUUCACAUUCAAGGAUUUUUCAUUAAAUCGUCGGUUCACCAGUUCUUUGUUACUUGAGAUAUUGUGAUAAACUUAUAUCAUUGCUUACUAUACAUAUGUCUGGAUGAUGCCUGCAGGCUCAUUACAAGCUUCAGGUGGAUCAAAUAGUGGGCCUUCUAUAUAUAUAUUCAGCUGUAUCAUUUCUUACUAUAUAUGUCUUCCUGUAGACGAGACGAAACCAUACAUGGAUCCUUUGCCUCCUUUCUUGCUCAGACCCCAUGAUACAACCUCGGCGGUUGUCCAGCGACUAACAGGUAAUUUCUCUUUCAAUUUGAUGAUGAUGGAUGAGAAUCAGUUCUAUGAUUGCAGCUUAUAAAAACAGAUGUUGGAUGUCCCUUAGGGGAUGUUUGGAUUGUCGUUUCGCACAGUAGUUACACCUGUAAAUAAUACACGCCUCCGACCAUCGUUUCAUUUGCAGGCCGAAAUGGCUACUAGCCCUGUAGAUAAAAUACAUGUGUAUUUAAAUACACCGAUUCCAAGCGCACCCUUAUGUGAUGUGCUUAUUUACCAUGAUAGAUGCAAUUGCUUAUUAGUAGGUGCUCUCCGAAUCCUUCUUUAACUAAUUUACUUUGAAGUUCGGACAAAGGAGACUAUAACUUUUUAUAUUCGUUCUAUCAUGGAUUCCCUCUCUAGCCUAUGUACGUUUCAGAAAUAGGUACACACCUAGGAGAAGCCUGAGACCUAAUAAUAGUGCUAAGCAAUUACUCUGAUUGUCAUUCUAUGCUAUCAUCACAACACAGGUCAAUAGACAGUCAACAAAUGUGUAAUCAGCUUUCCCUGGGUCCUGCAUCAUCUACUAAUAAUCAAAUUUUGUGGCGAGUGUCUUAUAAAUCAGCAUACCUAUUUCUCCACACUGGAUAGCUUUUAUUGUGACUACAAAGAAUAUCGUUUGAGGAUGGCAUGCCAAUUGUUCUAUGUCUUGGGUAUGAAGUAAUUUCUAAAAUGUCUUAGGUUUCCCUAUAAAUUCUGCAAAUUUGCGGCAUGUCAUUAAAACCUACAGGGUGCUCCACCGAUGGUGAAAAUACCUCACAUGAUGAUGUUGGAUAUUCUUCUACAAACUUCUGGCCUACUAGUGGCCGAGUAUCGAAGCAAAAUGUGACAGUUGCAUGAUGUGGUUGACUGUUUAUUUGCAUACAGCAAUAUCAUCUUUUGGAGAUAAAACAGCCGUAUGGAUGUUACAUGAGACCAUGUCGGAAGACCCUGCUGCUAUGUAAGCAAAAGGAUUCAUGAUACCCACGGUGAAAACAGAGAUAAGAUGCUACAGUUAGAGCAGCAUUGAGAAACCGAGGACACGAAAUGAGUCUGAAAAAUGCCAUGGGCUGAUUUGUUCUAGCUAGGUACAUGCAAUGCUUCUCUUAUAUAUAUGCAACGUAACAUCGCGGAUAACUAGAACUGUUGUGAUGUUGCUCUAUUAUAAGUACAAAUAACUCAUGGUUAUCUUUUCUUAUGCAAUGUGUGGUAGAAGUUGUACUCACAGGAAGACUAUCGUGCUUUGUAUAAACCACAUUCUAUGAUUCACUUCUGUUAUGCUUAUUUACAUUCCAGUGUUAGGACUGAAAUCCAUCUAUUGUAAUGAAUUUGGUUAUAUUGGCAUUACCUAUUUGACUUAGGCUUGGUUCAUCACAUAUAGACUGUUUUUCUUGUAACCCGCUGCUUGUAUGACCUAAAACUGUCAUGUAUAUGAGGCAAGUUAUUAGCAA